AUGUCAUCGUCACAUCUGCCCCUGUGUGCAGGAGGUGGGAGGAGAGCCUACCGUGGAAGCAGCGGCUCUCACCCAGAACCAGACUCCCACUCUGCAGCCUGGGGCUUUGUGGUCUCAGAUGCACAAGACUUUGUGACCGAGGCUGCAUUGGUGCUGAAGUGGAGAAAGGCAGAUUCUACCUUAGAGGGAGACACUCAGAUGCCUGCUCAGGGAUCCCAUUUUCCAGUGAAGGUCUUCUGCUCAGAUGGUGGCCCUCACUCCCCGCUGGGAGAUGUGGGUCACGUCCCUUCCAACCUGGAGUGGACGUGCAGGCUCCUUUUCCUGCUGGUGGCUGCCCCAGGUGUCCACUCACAAAUCCAGCUGCUGCAGUCUGGCGCUGAGCUGAAGAGGCCUGGAGAGUCAGUGAAGGUGUCCUGCCAAGGCUCCGGCUACACCUUCACUGACUAUGGUAUAAACUGGGUGAAACAGGCGCCAGGGAAAGGCCUGCUAUGGAUGGGCUGGAUCAACACCCAAACCGCAAAGCCCACAUAUGCUGAGGGCUUCACAGGACGAUUCACCUUCUCCCUGGAUGCCUCUGUCAGCACAGCAUAUCUGCAGAUCAGCAGCCUGCAGGCUGAAGACACAGCCGUGUAUUACUGUGCGAGACACAGUGUGAAAAUCACAUCCUGA